AGAGUUUGAUCCUGGCUCAGAUUGAACGCUGGCGGCAGGCCUAACACAUGCAAGUCGAGCGGUAGCACGGGAGAGCUUGCUCUCUGGGUGACGAGCGGCGGACGGGUGAGUAAUGUCUGGGGAUCUGCCUGAUGGAGGGGGAUAACUACUGGAAACGGUAGCUAAUACCGCAUAACGUCGCAAGACCAAAGAGGGGGACCUUCGGGCCUCUUGCCAUCAGAUGAACCCAGAUGGGAUUAGCUAGUAGGUGGGGUAAUGGCUCACCUAGGCGACGAUCCCUAGCUGGUCUGAGAGGAUGACCAGCCACACUGGAACUGAGACACGGUCCAGACUCCUACGGGAGGCAGCAGUGGGGAAUAUUGCACAAUGGGCGCAAGCCUGAUGCAGCCAUGCCGCGUGUAUGAAGAAGGCCUUCGGGUUGUAAAGUACUUUCAGCGAGGAGGAAGGCGUUAAGGUUAAUAACCUUAGCGAUUGACGUUACUCGCAGAAGAAGCACCGGCUAACUCCGUGCCAGCAGCCGCGGUAAUACGGAGGGUGCAAGCGUUAAUCGGAAUUACUGGGCGUAAAGCGCACGCAGGCGGUUUGUUAAGUCGGAUGUGAAAUCCCCGGGCUCAACCUGGGAACUGCAUUCGAAACUGGCAAGCUUGAGUCUUGUAGAGGGGGGUAGAAUUCCAGGUGUAGCGGUGAAAUGCGUAGAGAUCUGGAGGAAUACCGGUGGCGAAGGCGGCCCCCUGGACAAAGACUGACGCUCAGGUGCGAAAGCGUGGGGAGCAAACAGGAUUAGAUACCCUGGUAGUCCACGCCGUAAACGAUGUCGACUUGGAGGUUGUGCCCUUGAGGCGUGGCUUCCGGAGCUAACGCGUUAAGUCGACCGCCUGGGGAGUACGGCCGCAAGGUUAAAACUCAAAUGAAUUGACGGGGGCCCGCACAAGCGGUGGAGCAUGUGGUUUAAUUCGAUGCAACGCGAAGAACCUUACCUACUCUUGACAUCCAGAGAACUUUCCAGAGAUGGAUUGGUGCCUUCGGGAACUCUGAGACAGGUGCUGCAUGGCUGUCGUCAGCUCGUGUUGUGAAAUGUUGGGUUAAGUCCCGCAACGAGCGCAACCCUUAUCCUUUGUUGCCAGCGGUUCGGCCGGGAACUCAAAGGAGACUGCCAGUGAUAAACUGGAGGAAGGUGGGGAUGACGUCAAGUCAUCAUGGCCCUUACGAGUAGGGCUACACACGUGCUACAAUGGCGCAUACAAAGAGAAGCGACCUCGCGAGAGCAAGCGGACCUCAUAAAGUGCGUCGUAGUCCGGAUUGGAGUCUGCAACUCGACUCCAUGAAGUCGGAAUCGCUAGUAAUCGUAGAUCAGAAUGCUACGGUGAAUACGUUCCCGGGCCUUGUACACACCGCCCGUCACACCAUGGGAGUGGGUUGCAAAAGAAGUAGGUAGCUUAACCUUCGGGAGGGCGCUUACCACUUUGUGAUUCAUGACUGGGGUGAAGUCGUAACAAGGUAACC
rnacentral:rRNA from 1 species